UGUGUGUGUUGCUGUUUUCUUAAGAGCUGAUGAACAUUUCGGGCAAAGAGAUGCAGUAAUUGCAGCUUCCCUGUGCCAGGAGAGGCCUCACCUGGGAAGAUUAUUCCAUGAGACAGCAGGAGUGCCUGGGUUUGGCAUUUUACCGCAGCCCUGGGUGAAAGAGUGUCACAGAAGAAUGAUGCGGGGAGGCACUGGAGCAGUGCUGGGAAUGAACCGUCCCUCUCCAAUUCCAACCUGGUGCGGCCAAGGUUGUUACAGGCUUCAUGCAGAGACCUGGGCGCACUUUCAGGUGGAUUUGGCCAAAGACUGGCAAAGUGCAGCUGGGCAUCUCCUCCCCUCAACCUCCUAGCCACAGGACUGGCGACCAAAGAACCCACUGCUCUGUCUUCCUUGCUUGUGUGAGUCUCCUCCAAAGAAACACAUCAAAAUCAAGGAAGGGGAAAGGCUGGAUGCUCCCUCCCCAAGGCACAGGGACAACGGGAUCUGAUCAACAGCUGAGCCCGGAGACAGCCAGAAAGUUAACACAGCCACCUGGGGCCAUGGUCAGAAGCCCAAAGGAGGCAGAUGAGCAGAGUGUCUGCAGAAACCCUGCAAGCAAAGCUCUGCCUGAUCCUGGAGGUGAAGAACAUGAGGAAGAGCUGAUGUUCAUCUCUCAGCCCAGCUGGGCACCUGGAGCAGGCUCAGCUCCAUGGAGCCCUUCGUGUCACACACCACCUCAAACCCACCUCCCAAGCCUACAGUGGUGGGUUUUUUUUAAAGAGCACACCUGAGAUUGGAAAGACAAAGAAAUGCCUGUAAGUCUCUGUCAACAGUCAGAGACUUCAGCAAAGUCAGAGGAGUGCACACACGGCUAGAAAAGUCACCCGUAGGAGACCUUUACAAAACAGUAAUUCCUAAUUGCUGCAUUACUGCCAAUUUAGCAUCCCCCACUCACCCCUCCUGCCCCCAAGGAAGGCUGG